rnacentral:rRNA from 1 species
UACGUAGGUGGCAAGCGUUGUCCGGAAUUAUUGGGCGUAAAGCGCGCGCAGGCGGUCCCUUAAGUCUGAUGUGAAAGCCCACGGCUCAACCGUGGAGGGUCAUUGGAAACUGGGGGACUUGAGUACAGAAGAGGGAAGCGGAAUUCCACGUGUAGCGGUGAAAUGCGUAGAGAUGUGGAGGAACACCAGUGGCGAAGGCGGCUUUCUGGUCUGUAACUGACGCUGAGGCGCGAAAGCGUGGGGAGCAAACAGG